rfam:Trichobilharzia regenti genome assembly, scaffold: TRE_scaffold0046311
GUACUUCUGAAGAGUCCCAAACUAGGACGAAACAGCUUUCCAGUAC